rnacentral:rRNA from 1 species
UGGGGAAUUUUCCGCAAUGGGCGAAAGCCUGACGGAGCAAUACCGCGUGAGGGAGGAAGGCUCUUGGGUCGUAAACCUCUUUUCUCAGGGAAGAAGAAAGUGACGGUACCUGAGGAAUAAGCAUCGGCUAACUCCGUGCCAGCAGCCGCGGUAAUACGGAGGAUGCAAGCGUUAUCCGGAAUGAUUGGGCGUAAAGGGUCUGUAGGUGGUGCUGUAAGUCUGCUGUUAAAGAGUCACGCUCAACGUGAUAAGAGCAGUGGAAACUACAGGACUAGAGUGCGUUCGGGGCAGAAGGAAUUCCUGGUGUAGCGGUGAAAUGCGUAGAUAUCAGGAAGAACACCGGUGGCGAAAGCGUUCUGCUAGGCCGCAACUGACACUGAGGGACGAAAGCUAGGGGAGCGAAUG